UAAUUUUCUUUUCUUUUUUAACAGAUUUUGGCUGAAUUCACAAGAAUUGCCAUAUAGAUAUACAAGAAACAAUCAGAAGUGGUUGCCUAAAAGCAUCUGAAGCAGUGCUUCUCCUCAUCAAAAACAAGAAGAAAGUAUCACAGGCAGUAUGGGAUAGUUACUCCAGAAUAUCAGAGACAAAAUAAUGAAUCCAGAGUCGAGGUAACAUUACUAGCACUUCCAGAACUCAAUGAAUAAUCAACAGUUUCCUGGUUCAUGAUGAGGUCCAUAUAUGUGACUCGCCAGUCAUAAUAAAGAAGGAGGAGUAUAUUCUCAGAAUUGACUCAGGAUAUUACAAGUAGCAUGACACUAACCAGAACAAUAAUGUGCUUUGUUGCCAGCUUUUAUGUAUUCAAUCUUUCAUACCCAAAGCUCUGCAGAAAAUUUUUGUCCUUCAUUCAAAGGGUAAUCCUGAAGAUUUCGGAUAGUGGAAAAGUAGACAAAUCUAUCUUACUUCUCAAUGAGAAAAUAUAUAACAAAACUACUCGUAGUAUAAAUUAAAUAUUUAAGAUGAUGCCCUUUUUUGUGUUAUAGUAACAUGAAAUAAGAUCCUACAA